rnacentral:tRNA from 1 species
GGUAUAUAGCUUAGUUGGUAGAGUGCUUGACUCACAUGCACAAGGACCUGGGUUUAAUCCCCAGCACCA